AGCCCACACAUACACAGACGUAUUUGGGGUUGCCACGCGGCACUGUUUGUGAAGCUUCCUCACCUGACGCACCCAGAGCUGCGACACGUCCUCCUCUCUAUCGAAGCAAAAGCGCACGCACAACACCUCCCCCGCCACGCAAGCUUGAGAGGGGCGCUUGGCCGUGGCGCGCUUGUGCGACUGGGCGAGGACAGUGGGUAUACCGGCGCCGUAUCUGCUUUGUACACAGCGGCACGUCGAGCCGUGAGGCUGUGCGCAUGUAGACCUGGCCGGCGUCGUCUCGGCUGUUUGGACUCGACUUUCUUUUUGCCUUCUUUUUGUUUUGUUGUUCCUUUGGCUGGGGUGUUUGCUGGUUUGCGUGUGUACCGCGUCUUUCACCCUCUCCGCCACCCGCAAGGCGUCCCCAUUGCCUCCUAUAUCCACGCCCAUCGGCUCCCUUCUCUCUCUCGUGUUGCUUCUCCACCCCCUAGACAUCGACGCCGUCGACAUUCGUCUAUUUGCGUGUUUUCACCCUUUCUUGUCGGGCUUCAGUCCUUUGCGCCUUCUCACCUUUCGCGUUUGCCGCUCUUCCACCGCCGCCUUUGGUCUCGCAUUCCGGGCAGCCAUGACGGACGUCACCUCUUCGCUCCGCCCGUCGUCGCGCCAGGGCUCCCCGGUGCCGCGCCGGCAGCUCGGCAUUCUGCCUGUGAACCAGCGCUCCUACUCGCGUGUGGGCUCCAAGGGCAUGAUUGGAGAUGACUCGCCGCUCAUGUCUCCCUUGCCCUACUACCCGCGUCGUCGCAGUGUCACCUUUGCCGGUGACCAGAGCGUGAGAGAGGAGCGACCCAACUACAACGCCGCAUAUUCCGCUUCUGCUCCCGUCUCCCCAGCGCGUCACGGCUCGCCGCCGCCGGUUUCCAUCCUCAAGCCGAACUCGUCGUUUCCGGCGGCAGAGGAGGAGGACAGCGGCGCUGCGCCGGCGUACCAGGCUGCCGCAGCCACCGUGGGUGGUGUCUUGGACCGCAAAGACCGCGCGCGGAACUCUCCGGUACCGGUGCGCGGUCGCUCCAAUAGCCGUCAGCGCCUUGCGGCGCGGCGCAAGGAGGCGCAGCUGCAUCGCAGCUUCUACGAUGACAGCUUCGUGGAGGAGUAUGUGCUGCGAGCCAAGACGGAGUUGGAGCAGGAGGAGGCAGAGCAGCGCCGAAUGCAGGAGCAGCUGAGGACCGAGCAGGAGAGGGCGAAGAGGGCAGAGCGCCGCGUCUCGGAGGCAGCGGAGAAGAUCAACGCCCUGCAGCACGCAAAAGAGGUGCUGAUGACGGCCACGGUGCGCCGCCACACUUCCGUGACGCCGUCCCCGCAGCGCGCGCCUGCCGAAAAAUCGAAGCGCAACUCCAGCCUCUUGCGGGAGCUCGAAGAGGACCCCGACCCGGAGGUGCAGGCAGCGCUAAAGGAGCUCGCACGCAACUCCCUGGCGAAGCAGCAGCGUCGCGUUCACUCUUCAGCCCAUCAGCGUCGUCGAUCGAUAUCCAUUGUCUCCGCCGACGCCCUCGCGAAGAGCGGCGAGGUCGACGACGGUGACGACAACGACACCCGCAAGCGCGCCCGUCUAGAGAAGAUCGUCUCCACGCUGCUUGCGAAGAAGGCCAAGAGCAAGAGCAAGCGUAGUGUGAUGGUUAUCGACUGGUCUGAUCUCGACUCCGACGCCGACGGCGACACCGCGACCACUGAGGAGGAUGGGGAGGAGACUGCGGUGGCCCUCAAGCGACGACGCGGCCGCCCUGCCAAAAGCCGCAGUAUAGCGUUGGGGACGGAGGCGACGCUGGUGUCGUCGGCGAAGCAUGUACAGAGGCCGUCCACGAAGCGCGCGGCCUCGUCCCGUAAGCGCCAUGCCAGCGCAGAGCCCGAGUUGGGCGACUCACUUCUUUUUGAGGAUGAGGCCGAGCAGCCGAUUUUGCUUCCUCGCCGGCAGAAUACGCGACCGCCCCCCACUCGGUCUAUCUCGUACAUCGAAAUGGGGAGCGGUGAUGACCUGCUGAGGGACGCCGCCAGCGUUGAGCGUGUGGUGCGGCGACCACCUCGUGCCACACGCGCGCCGGUCACGCGGCAGCGCCGCGGCCGUCUUGCAUCUACUAGCACCCGCGAAGGUGCAGAGGACAUGUCGUCUUUCACAGACGCCACCGCCUGGCGAGGACGUGCGCCGCAGCCGCCAGCCGCGACGACAGGGGGACCGACCGGCGUCCCGCCUCGCCGACGCCGCGGGUCCGCCCCGCGCGCGGACCCCAAUGAUCCCAUGGCCGUCUUCUUUGAGGCUGCCUUUCCGAGUCCCUCGAAGUUUGAUGAGAUGAUGAUGCAGGCUGGCGGCCUGCCAGAGACCCGUCGUGGCGGCGGUGGCGGCGGCCGAGGACAGGGACGGCAUCCCAACUUGGUGCUGCCUAGUUCGAUUGGGCGCCGCCGCUGAUACUUGAGCGAGUGCGUGCCAACCAUGUUGGCGAGUGUGUGUAUGUCGAGCAGUCUCGCGCCAUUUACGACGUCAUGACGUUCGCUGUUCUGGUUCUUGCGAGUGCCGGCUUGGUUCUCUUUGCUUUGACCUAGACUGUCUUUCCUAUCUCAGUUCCUGCAUCGCUCGCCGCCUCCGUCCCGCCUCCGUCCCGCCCAGCCCUCCCCCACCACACUCCUGCACUGCGGCAAGCGGGUCAGCGGACCUCUCUGUAUAGGGGAGCCCUUGCGUGAUGCGGACGCGGAGUUGUUUUGUCCUGCGAACCAGUGAAAGCCCUUUCUCGUUUGUUGUUUCUUAUUUUCCUCUUGAAAGAUAGAUGCUCAGUCGCCUCCACGCGCUGCUCCGCUGUGGUGUGCGUUGUGUGGCUGUAAGCCAGCAAGGACGCACGCACGCUCACGACAGUGCAACAGUGGCGGGACGCUUUAGAUUUCGCGACGUGCGGUGCGUCGGUAUGUGUGUGUGUGUGUCUGGACGAGCUCAUGUGCGCUGCAAGCAACACG
rnacentral:misc_RNA from 1 species